GAGAGAGAGAGAGAGAGAGAGAGAGAAGAAGAAUUUUUAUUUUCCACAAAGAGAUAUUUAUUAUUUUAUACCUGAAGUAAGAAUAUCUUCACGGAGAGAGGAAAGGAGCAUUCUUCCGUGUUCUAAACACCUGCGAGAGGGGAAGAAUACAAGGGACAGGACAAGGCAGCUUCAGUUUAGAUUCAUCAUGGCGUCGUGGACGAAUUCGUUUCGGAAAAUAAAAUGUUCAACUCUAUAUCCUCUCUAUUAUACGUCGACAAUGACGAAGAUGACGACGACGAUGAGGACGAUGAGAACAACGAGGAGUUAGACGUUCGAAACGAUUUUCUUAGAGAACGUUUCCUGGGUAACUCGUGCGUCAUCCUUUAUCGUUCUCGAAAAGAACACACACACGUCAGCUGGUGGUGCCUGGUGUGCUUCGAGGGACACGGCAUAACCGCUCGUGUUUCUCCUUCUAUGCCGCGAGAGUGCACCUUCGGCGCUCUGAGCUCGCUCGAGGCCGAAACCGAUGGAUUUGAUGACAAAUUUUAGUCAUCUAUCUAAAGAAAAUCGUGGAAACCGAUACGAUUGGCAAUUCAACUGAUGAAUUUGUUAGUGCAUGUGUCGACAGUACACUCCCAAAGCGUCAGCGAUUUGUUUUCGCCGAUUCAAGAAGAUUACCGUCGUGCAAAACAUCACUUUAUCGACUGCUAGGUGUCGCAAUGGUGACAUGUCGUCUACACGUACAAACAUGUGAUGUGUAAGUAUAUAUAUAUAUAUGUAAGAUUAUUUCAAGUCAUUGAAAUUCUUGAUCAAAGAACACUCCAGUAUUAUUACCGAUAUAUCGGACGUUUCAAAAUUUAUCUUCGAAGUAUUUUAUAUGAACGAUUUCGUCAAUGCGUUUAAUAAAAAUUAAUCAAAAUUAUUACGUAAAUUUCAUUCGAUUUUCUUAUAAACAUAAAAAAUAAGAAAAUGUUAAACAAUUCCGAGUAUCUACUCUUAUCUUAUCCUCUCUCGUGUAGAGAAGAAUCCAAGGUUUCUGUUAAAAUACAGGUCGUUUUUAACGCGUAAGAUAACAUUUCGCCCAACGGAACGACCAAUGAUAUUCUACUUGAAAUCUCGGUCUGGUCUUUCUCUCUCUCUCUCUUCCUCUCUCUCUCUGUCUCUUUCUCUGCCUUCUCGCGGGAGAAACCAGAAUCCAGAAUACGAGACCGGGAACUCGAUCUCGCCUGCAUCUCAAUUUCAGUUCUCCAUCUGGUGUCACUUCCACUAACAUAUGACGUACGUAUACGUUUACUUGUCGAAGUAUGUAUUUCAAAAUGAACGACAUGUCGUUU